UACAGAGGGUGCAAGCGUUAAUCGGAAUUAUUGGGCGUAAAGGGUGCGUAGGCGGUUUGGUAAGUCUUAUGUGAAAUCUACAGGCUCAACUUGUAGUCUGCAUGAGAAACUGCCGGGCUUGAGUAUGGGAGAGGUGAGUGGAAUUCCUGGUGUAGCGGUGAAAUGCGUAGAUAUCAGGAGGAACACCUGUGGCGAAAGCGGCUCACUGGACCAUAACUGACGCUGGAUGCACGAAAAGCUAGGGGGAGCAAACAGG
rnacentral:rRNA from 1 species